rnacentral:lncRNA from 1 species
CGCCAUUUUCGAGUGAUGCCUGAUCUCAUCAAUCUAGCGGGAGAGACAGGAUAACCUGUCCGAGAGUAUAGCGCCACUAUGACUCCGCCGGAAAAAUUACUUUAAAAAUCGCCAAAAAUUACUUGGAGCAAAGGGCAGUCGGCGGAGCUUCGCCAAGGCUGGCGCAGUCGGUUUAAUAAUGAUAGAAUGAAGACCACAAUAAAAGAGACCUCUACUUAGCUCAGCAAUUCUUACCUUUCUUACCUAUUUGAUGAAGAUGUCUUUUGAAAGGUGUACUGCAAGGAACAAAAUGUUUGUAAAUUCUCCUUUUACCAAGGUGGAUAAUUACUGUACCUUCCUCAUGGAAAAAGUUUUAUUUAAAGUGUUAUUUCUCAUUGAAUACUAUCAAAAAGGAAAAAAAAAUGACCUAAACUUUUGAGAUAGAUUUGGCUCUAGUAAGUAUUUAGUUAUAUCACUUGCAUAUCUGGGAGAAGAAAUAAGAGACUAUCAUCAGUACAUUCCCAUCUACUAAAAAAAUUUAUUUUACACAUGUCAAGGGAUUACUUAUAACUUCCAUUUUAUUACUAAUAGCUUGAACCCUUUUAAUGAAGACCUAACUCCUCCACCAGAAAUUUAAGUUUAUGUUCUUACUUUGUUUACUUAUAAAAUACAUCUCAGGUAUUUCGGAUGUCUUUUUUUUUUCUAAGCCUAUAUGAAAU